rnacentral:sRNA from 1 species
UAUCGACAGCCUGACGAUCUCGAGAC